GUGGGGAAUUUUGGACAAUGGGCGCAAGCCUGAUCCAGCAAUGCCGCGUGCAGGAAGAAGGCCUUCGGGUUGUAAACUGCUUUUGUACGGAACGAAACGGUCCGGGUUAAUACCCUGGGCUAAUGACGGUACCGUAAGAAUAAGCACCGGCUAACUACGUGCCAGCAGCCGCGGUAAUACGUAGGGUGCAAGCGUUAAUCGGAAUUACUGGGCGUAAAGCGUGCGCAGGCGGCUUUGUAAGACGGAUGUGAAAGCCCCGGGCUCAACCUGGGAAGUGCAUUCGUGACUGCAAGGCUGGAGUGCGGCAGAGGGGGAUGGAAUUCCGCGUGUAGCAGUGAAAUGCGUAGAUAUGCGGAGGAACACCGAUGGCGAAGGCAAUCCCCUGGGCCUGCACUGACGCUCAUGCACGAAAGCGUGGGGAGCAAACAGGAUUAGAUACCCUUGUAGUCC
rnacentral:rRNA from 1 species